GCGCCCGUAGCUCAGUUGGUUAGAGUAUUACCUUGACAUGGUAGGGGUCACAAGUUCGAAUCUUGUCGGGCGCACCA
rnacentral:tRNA from 1 species